rnacentral:rRNA from 1 species
UACGAAGGGGGCUAGCGUUGCUCGGAAUCACUGGGCGUAAAGCGCACGUAGGCGGACUCUUAAGUCGGUGGUGAAAUCCUGGAGCUCAACUCCAGAACUGCCUUCGAUACUGAGAGUCUCGAGUCCGGGAGAGGUGAGUGGAACUGCGAGUGUAGAGGUGAAAUUCGUAGAUAUCUGGAGGAACACCGGUGGCGAAGGCGGCAUCCUGGACCGGUAUUGACGCUGAUGCGCGAAAGCCAGGGGAGCAAACGGG